rnacentral:rRNA from 1 species
GCAAGUAGAAACGCUGAAGAAAGGAGCUUGCUUCUUUUGGAUGAGUUGCGAACGGGUGAGUAACGCGUAGGUAACCUGCCUUGUAGCGGGGGAUAACUAUUGGAAACGAUAGCUAAUACCGCAUAACAGCUUUUGACACAUGUUAGAAGCUUGAAAGAUGCAAUUGCAUCACUACGAGAUGGACCUGCGUUGUAUUAGCUAGUAGGUAGGGUAACGGCCUACCUAGGCGACGAUACAUAGCCGACCUGAGAGGGUGAUCGGCCACACUGGGACUGAGACACGGCCCAGACUCCUACGGGAGGCAGCAGUAGGGAAUCUUCGGCAAUGGGGGCAACCCUGACCGAGCAACGCCGCGUGAGUGAAGAAGGUUUUCGGAUCGUAAAGCUCUGUUGUAAGAGAAGAACGUGUGUGAGAGUGGAAAGUUCACACAGUGACGGUAA